rnacentral:rRNA from 1 species
UACGUAGGGGGCUAGCGUUGUCCGGAUUUAUUGGGCGUAAAGAGCGUGUAGGCGGCCAGGUAGGUCUGCUGUGAAAACUCGAGGCUCAACCUCGAGACGUCGGCGGAAACCAUCUGGCUAGAGUCCGGAAGAGGAGAGUGGAAUUCCUGGUGUAGCGGUGAAAUGCGCAGAUAUCAGGAAGAACACCCGUGGCGGAAAGGCGGCUCUCUGGGACGGUACUGACGCUGAGACGGCGAAAGCUGGGGAGCAAACAGG